UGAAAAUCAUCCCCAUGUUUGGUUUCAAGCAACAACAUUUCUUCUCACACAAAGCUAUAUUUCUUUAGAAGACUUUGAAUAUAUUUUGUCAUAUGAAUACAAGUCAUCAAGGAACAGUGUCCUUUCUGGAGCUUGACAGUGUCUAUUCACUUUCAUUGUAUUGAAUGUACUGAAAAAACAAAAACAAAAAAAAAAACAAGGACACUUUGCCCAACUUUUGCUUUGUUUCACAGUAGAAAGCAAAUCAUGCAAGUCUGGAACACCAUAAGUUAAAUGACGCCAAAAAUUAUUGUUUUGCAUUAUUUCCAAUUAAACAGUCUAAUGUAGAAGUACAGUAUAUGUUCCAAACAUGCAUGAGUUUCUUUCUUCUGUUGAACACAAAAGAAGUUAUUCUGAAGAAUGUAACCAAACAGCUGACGGUAGCCAUUUACUUCCAUAGUAUGGAGAAAAAAAAAUGAUAAUAAAAGUCAAUGGCUACCAACAACUGUUUGGUAACCAACAUUCUUCAAAAUAUCUUCUUUUGUGUUCAGUAGAAGAAAAAACUCAUACAGGUUUGGAACAGUUUGAGGGUGAGUAAAUGAUGACAGCAUUUCAAAGUAUCAUUAAAACACUGAUGUAGUAAAUUAAAAAGCAGUCUGCCGAAUUGAUUAAUUCUUACUAUGUUUACUAUCACAUCCAUCCAGUGCUGUGGCUGGCUGAGGGUGAUAAUGCUCAUCACAGUGAUUGUGUUCUCACCUUCAGAGCAGAGUGAAAUGUCUCUGGGAUCAACACACGGCGAUCAGACGCAUGAACCCCUGAGGACUGACGCGGGACACACACACGUCAAAGAGAAUAGCAAAGAGCAGCAUGAACAUUGUUGAACAGUGUUUCACUGAAGAACAUCAAGAAGGUGAGUGAAUGACGACUGAACUGCAGUGGGUUAAAAUAUAAGCAACUCAAUUUGAAAAAGUGUAUUUGCAAUAUGAAACACAUGUAAAUGAAUUACUGUAUAAGCGGAGAAUUACGGGUGUCAAAUUGGCUUCUCCUGCACUCAAAAUUCUUACAAAAAUUGCAGCAUGCCAAAUCUGCAGUGUAAUAAAGAAGUUGUGAGUUAUGAGAUGGUCUUUUGC
ensembl:lncRNA